rnacentral:lncRNA from 1 species
UCCCUCUCCAAGACUUAUCAGCUUGUGGCCUAGGCAAGCCUCUCUGUGCCUCAGUUUCCAGAUUUGUCAAACAUGGUUAACAGCAUUCAACACACAGGACUGUUGUACCAAUUAAAUCAGAAGGAUCUCUAUGAAACUUUCUGCAGUGUCUAGCACUUAAGGAUGCUAUAAAUUCUAGUUGUUAAAUUGAUAACUAUAUUAUUACAAGCAUAAAAUGUUAAACUGAACUCUUCUUGAAAAGCAGCGACUGCGUGUGGGCACCCAAACACUGGAAUCAGCCUCAGAUCAGGAAACUUCAAAGUUAAGGGUUAAUUGGAUAAUUGGAGACUAGAAAGAUCCGUUUGGCACUAUAUUUAGCUAAAAUAGAAGAGUUCCUUCUGUAGUCACAAGUGCCUCCUUUUGCUCCCCUUUUCCUUCUAUCCUUAGCUGUCCAUUCCAAUCUUGCCAGUUUUCAAAGUUCAGUAUGAUUACAAUCUACUUAGUAGUCCUUUCUUUCCCACUCCCCAAGGAUCACUAUCUUCCAGCUGAGAAACACAUUCUUCUACUUUUGUUUAGAGUUUAACUGCAGCCUGACUCCUCAUUCUGUUCUUUAAGUGGUGGUUGGUGAAUUAGUUCCUUAACUAACUCAGUACCUAGGAAGGGUUUCUGCUUAGCUCCCCGCUCUACUUCCUAUGCCUACAAUAGUGCUCAGCACCAGGGCAGAAUCUCAACAACCCUGGUUACAUAGAUGAAUCUGGAGGGAAGACUCUUUUAGCUUCCAUUCCUUUUUCUUGAGCUAUAAGGUGUAGGUGGUAGCAAACACUGGUGAUAAUUCCUGCUUCCCAUCAUGAUAGAAAAACUCCUAACUAAAGAAAACAGACUAUCAAAAUAUGAUCACCAAUCAUCUCAGGAAGCGAUAGAUCAGUUCUGUUUAUUAUUAGUGCUUUUGGAGUUGAAAUCUGUG